AUUGAACGCUGGCGGCAUGCCUUACACAUGCAAGUCGAACGGCAGCAUGGAGAGCUUGCUCUCUGAUGGCGAGUGGCGAACGGGUGAGUAAUGCAUCGGAACGUACCGUGUAAUGGGGGAUAACGUAGCGAAAGUUACGCUAAUACCGCAUAGGACCUGAGGGUGAAAGCAGGGGAGCGCAAGACCUUGCGUUAUACGAGCGGCUGAUGUCAGAUUAGCUAGUUGGUGAGGUAAAGGCUCACCAAGGCGACGAUCUGUCGCGGGUCUGAGAGGAUGAUCCGCCACACUGGGACUGAGACACGGCCCAGACUCCUACGGGAGGCAGCAGUGGGGAAUUUUGGACAAUGGGGGCAACCCUGAUCCAGCCAUGCCGCGUGAGUGAAGAAGGCCUUCGGGUUGUAAAGCUCUUUCGGCCGGGAAGAAAUCGCACAGGCUAAUACUCUGUGUGGAUGACGGUACCGGCAUAAGAAGCACCGGCUAACUACGUGCCAGCAGCCGCCGUAA
rnacentral:rRNA from 1 species